ensembl:lncRNA
GUUUAAGGCUGGGGGGGCGCAAGGAGGGGGCUCUGACCCCCCGUUGGUGUGGAUUUGCUGUCCAAAGACCGUUAGAAAGAGGCAGAAUGAAUGAGAUUGAAUGGAAUUGUAAUGCACAAGGCCCUCCUCCUUUCUCAAGGAGCUGGGAGGCCAGGAAAGCGAGUCGUGGGGAGAGCAGGCAGCUUUCUUACACAUAGGAAGAGGCUUUGCAAAUCAUCAAAUGGUCGGCCGAGAAGACCAAAAGGAGAAAAAGAGAGAGAGAAAGAGGGAGAGAGGAGACUUGAUAGAAAAAUCUGAUUCCCAAAACUCUUGUAAGUGUCAUUACUUUCUAAGAAAAUGAAUUGCUUUCUAAGUAAAAGAGAAAUGUGGAGGAAUGCCUGAAAUGGUAGCAGGGAAUGGACUCUGCCUGUCUCUUUCCUACGCAGCGAGAUUUCUGGGGCACAAAGCAGAGGCCUAGAGGCUGCAGAGCAUUUCUCUGAGCUCUGAAGCAGAGCUGGGCCUGGUUUGAAGGAGCUUUCCCUUCCUGACCGCCCGCGGGGGGCUCAGCAGCUUGGGGGCUGUGUUACCUGGGUCCCAUCCCACAGGCAGACAAAGGCCGGGAGCUUCUUUCCUUGUGCAGCAGAAAUAAGGAGGGGAGGAAAUCGGUUUUGGAGAAGGAAGGGUUGCUUUGCGAGAGCGGCGGUGUGCGGGUGAUGGUGUGGGUCAGGACGGGGCUGCGCCGAUGUUUUCAGGGUUUGUUGUGCCGCCGUUGAUGUCGGGUUCGAUCUUGUGUGUUUUUCUAACGUGGUCGUCUCUGCCUGGCGGAGCCGGGGUUUGGAAAUGGAAGGAAAGUGGAGGCAUGUUGCUCGUCUCUGGGAUCUCUUUGUUCAGGGAACAGUAGGUGGUGGGUUUAAAAAGGCAGAGAGGGAAAGAGGGGGAGAAGAAGAAAGAAAUGAAAAAGGAAAAAAAAAAAAAAAAAAAAAGGUUCUUUGCAAAUCAUCUGACUAUUUUCUUCCGGGAUGAAGAAAUGCUGCAUUAGAGAUUAAGGCAGGGCCAUGCUUAAAACAAAAUGUCUCACUGGAAGUGCUAAUAAAACAGCAGCAGAGCCCAGCCUGCUUUUACAGCCUGCAAGCCAGGAAGGGGCUACAGGGAUGGGAUUGGGGGGCAGCCAAUGGGGGCAUUUCAUUGUGAACUUCAGAGGCUCUGAGCUACCGGUGCGGUUUGGUUUAGAGGGGAAAUUAAACCCUGCCACCAGCACUGUUGCCCGCUGCCACACGGCACGGCUCAGCCGCCCACACCGGGGCUCGGUGCUCUGUCAGGGGCUCAGCAUCCCACUCCGUGUCCCGUGGUUUGAUGGGGUUGGGCUGGGGAGAAAGCAGCAGCAAAAUCUAUGGGUUCCCCUAGGAGGAUCUGGGGAAGGCGUCCGGGGCAGCACGAGCAAGCAGCGUUUCCCGCAUCCCAGCCCGCACCUCCGCGGCUGCCUUGCUGCAGAAUGAGCAGAGCAGCCCGUGGUAUGGAGCUGGGGGAGAAUCCCUGCGCGCCGGUCCCGUGCCCCGGAGCUGCGGCCCCGCGCCUUCAAUACCAUGGACAGCGAAGCCGAAGCGCGGCGGCACCGAAGCGGCGCCGGGUGGGGACGGAGAGCGGGCCGGGAGCCGGAGGGGGCCGUGCGGACACACCGCAGCGCCUGCCCGGGCU